rnacentral:rRNA from 1 species
ACAGCAGCAGCCGCGGGAAUACGGAGGGUGCAAGCGUUAUCCGGAUUUAUUGGGUUUAAAGGGUCCGUAGGCGGACUUAUAAGUCAGUGGUGAAAGCCUGUCGCUUAACGAUAGAACUGCCAUUGAUACUGUAAGUCUUGAGUAUAUUUGAGGUAGCUGGAAUAAGUAGUGUAGCGGUGAAAUGCAUAGAUAUUACUUAGAACACCAAUUGCGAAGGCAGGUUACCAAGAUAUAACUGACGCUGAGGGACGAAAGCGUGGGUAGCGAACAGGAUUAGAUACCCCCGUAGUCCCUGUCUCUUAUAC